rnacentral:rRNA from 1 species
CAGUCGCCGCGGUAAUACGUAGGGUGCGAGCGUUAAUCGGAAUUACUGGGCGUAAAGCGUGCGCAGGCGGUUAUGUAAGACAGGUGUGAAAUCCCCGGGCUUAACCUGGGAACUGCGCUUGUGACUGCACAGCUAGAGUAUGGCAGAGGGGGGUGGAAUUCCACGUGUAGCAGUGAAAUGCGUAGAGAUGUGGAGGAACACCGAUGGCGAAGGCAGCCCCCUGGGCCAAUACUGACGCUCAUGCACGAAAGCGUGGGGAGCAAACAGGAUUAGAUACCCCCGUAGUCCCUGUCUCUUAUAC